CCUACGGGGGGCUGCAGUGGGGAAUAUUGCACAAUGGGCGCAAGCCUGAUGCAGCCAUGCCGCGUGUGUGAAGAGGGCCUUCGGGUUGUAAAGCACUUUCAGCGGGGAGGAAGGCGGUGAGGUUAAUAACCUCAUCGAUCGACGUUACCCGCAGAAGAAGCACCGGCUAACUCCGUGCCAGCAGCCGCGGUCAUACGGAGGGUGCAAGCGUUAAUCGGAAUUACUGGGCGUAAAGCGCACGCAGGCGGUCUGUCAAGUCGGAUGUGAAAUCCCCGGGCUCAACCUGGGAACUGCAUUCGAAACUGGCAGGCUAGAGUCUUGUAGAGGGGGGUAGAAUUCCAGGUGUAGCGGUGAAAUGCGUAGAGAUCUGGAGGAAUACCGGUGGCGAAGGCGGCCCCCUGGACAAAGACUGACGCUCAGGUGCGAAAGCGUGGGGAGCAAACAGGAUUAGAUACCCGGGUAGUC
rnacentral:rRNA from 1 species